UACGAAGGGAGCAAGCGUUGUUCGGAAUUACUGGGCGUAAAGGGCGUGUAGGCGGAUUAAUCAGUUAGGGGUGAAAUCCCGGGGCUCAACCUCGGAACGGCCUUUAAUACUAUUAAUCUAGAGUCUGUGAGGGGAUAGUGGAAUAUCUAGUGUAGAGGUGAAAUUCGUAGAUAUUAGAUGGAACACCAGUGGCGAAGGCGACUAUCUGGCACAGUACUGACGCUGAGGCGCGAAAGCGUGGGGAGCAAACAGG
rnacentral:rRNA from 1 species